rnacentral:misc_RNA from 1 species
GAUGAAGAACGUAGCGAAAUGCGAUAAGUAAUGCGAAUUGCAGAAUUUCCGUGAGUCAUCGAAUCUUUGAACGCACAUUGCGCCUCUCGGUAUUCCGGGAGGCACGCCUGUUCGAGCGCCAUUACACACCCCAAGCUGUGCUUGAUGUUGGACGACGUCUGUAACGAGACGGGUCUGGAACGCGUUGGCGCCGCCGGCGGACCACGAGCGUAGCAAGACGCAAGUCAUAUCGCUCUGUUGGGCCCGGCCGGACGGCUGCCUGUGACUGCCCGGUAAGAGGGGCGGUCGCGACGACAACUGAAGUUUGGCCUCGGAUCAGGCGGGGAUACCCGCUGAACUUAAGCAUAUCAAUAAGCGGAGGA